rnacentral:rRNA from 1 species
AACGCGAAGAACCUUACCAAAUCUUGACAUCCCGAUGACAGGCUGUGUAAAGCAGCUUCUCUUCGGAGCAUCGGUGACAGGUGGUGCAUGGUUGUCGUCAGCUCGUGUCGUGAGAUGUUGGGUUAAGUCCCGCAACGAGCGCAACCCUUGUCUUUAGUAGCCAGCAUUUAGGAUGGGCACUCUAGAGAGACUGCCAGGGAUAACCUGGAGGAAGGUGGGGAUGACGUCAAAUCAUCAUGCCCCUUAUGAUUUGGGCUACACACGUGCUACAAUGGCGUAAACAAAGAGAAGCAAAGGAGUGAUCCGGAGCAAAUCUCAAAAAUAACGUCUCAGUUCGGAUUGUAGUCUGCAACUCGACUACAUGAAGCUGGAAUCGCUAGUAAUCGCGAAUCAGAGUGUCGCGGUGAAUACGUUCCCGGGUCUUGUACACACGC